GCCUCAGACUGCCCGGAACGGGAGCCCACGCGGGCGGGCGCCUGAAACAAAGGGAAGCGGGCGUCCGGGCGCCGCGGGUGGGCGGUCAGUCGGUCAGCGCAGAGCCAGCCAGCGGGUGCCCGCGCAAGCCCCGAGCGCGGCCGGCCGGCGCGGCCUCAGGGCGGGAAGAUGCCGCGCGUCGUGCCCGACCAGAGAAGCAAGUUCGAGAACGAGGAGUUUUUUAGGAAGCUGAGCCGCGAGUGUGAGAUUAAGUACACGGGCUUCAGGGACCGGCCCCACGAGGAACCCCAGGCGCGCUUCCAGAACGCCUGCCGCGACGGCCGCUCGGAAAUCGCUUUUGUGGCCACAGGAACCAAUCUGUCUCUCCAGUUUUUUCCGGCUAGCUGGCAGGGAGAACAGUGACAAACACCUAGCCGAGAGUAUGUCGACUUAGAAAGAGAAGCAGGCAAGCUGGGCAUAUGAGCCUGAGACAGGUUUGACAAGGCAACUGAAAAGAUAUCCCUAAGAGAAGAGAAAGCAAAGGUAUGAAAGGAACACACAUCCCUGACUGACUAGGAGGAACAGAGCUGCCUGCUGUCUGGAACCGCUUCCUCCCAGACUAAGUGAGGCCCGGAGAGAAGAGAUGACUUGCUUAAGGUCAGAUACUUACUUUCUCUAUCAAUCUUUGUAAAUCUAGGACGAGUUCUCAUCCCACUGUAUCAGGCUGCCUCAACAAACAGGGAAGUACAAAAAUAGCCAAAUCCAGGAAGGAGGGCAGUGGUCUGUGUCUCCUCCAAUAAUUUCAUGGGACAGCCAAGCCUAUUUCCUUGAUUUCCCUUGUGCCCCUCCUGUCGGAUAUCUGCUUUGGGACCCAUCUCUUUUGGGCUUGCAGAGAGAACGGGCUGCACCAGUUCUCUACCCUCCUCAUCACCCAGAUGGUCAAACAUGCAAAGGGAAAGAGCUGGGGCCAGAGCCAAGGCAGGCAAAGAGAAUCCUCGACCCCCUCCAGUCUUUCCACAUUUAUAUUUUUGGAAUUUCAGGCUCCCUCCUCCCCCUGGACCUUUCCUA